GGAGGGCCAUAGCUCAGUGGAAGUGUGUCUGUCUUGCAUGCAGAAGGUGCUAGAUUCAAUUCCUGGUGACUCCA